GGUGUGGCUCAGCUUGGCUAGAGCGCCUGGUUUGGGACCAGGAUGUCGCAGGUUCGAAUCCUGUCACC
rnacentral:tRNA from 1 species